GCAGAAGCUUUCCAGAAAAUGUAUAGCCUCCAGGCAAAUGUCAAUUUCUUAAACUGAGAUUCCAGGUUAACAUCCAAGCAAUGAUAAAUGUUGAGAAUAUAAUCAGGUACAGCCUGCAUCUGCUCCACACUCAUCCUCAUCUCUUCUCUCCCUUCUAGGUGCUGUGCUCCAUCAUAGCAGGGGUUUUGCACUACCUCUAUCUGGCCGCCUUCAUCUGGAUGCUCCUCGAAGGGCUACAUCUCUUCCUCACUGUCAGGAACCUCAAGGUGGCCAAUUACACCAGCACAAGCAGAUUCAAGAAGAGACUCAUUUAUCCUCUAGGCUAUGGAACCCCAGCUGUGAUUGUUGCUGUGUCUGCAAUCAUUGGACACAGGAACUAUGGAACAUAUACUCACUGCUGGCUCAACCUUGAUAAAGGAUUCAUCUGGAGCUUCAUGGGGCCUGUGGUAGUCGUUAUCUUGAUAAAUUUGGGUUUCUAUUUCCAAAUUCUGUGGAUCUUGAGAGGCAAAAUUUCCUCCCUCAAUAAGAAGUUUCUACCAUUCAAGAUACCAGAGUCAUGACAUUUAAAGCUAUUUCUCAGCUGUUUGUCCUGGGCUGUUCUUGGAGUAUUGGCUUUUUUCAUGGUUGAAGAAGUAGGGAAGACAGUUGGGUCAGUCACUGCCUACUUAUUCACCAUCAUCAAUGUGCUGCAGGGGGUGUUGCUUUUCGUGGUGCACUGUCUGCUUAAUCGCCAGGUGCGAAUGCAAUAUAAGAAGUGGUUUAGGGGGAUGCGAACAGGGGUUGAAACUGAAAGUACUGAGAUGUCUCGCUCUACCACCCACCCAAAAUGUAGGUGGAAGCUGGGAAGUCAUCAGAAUUCAUCACUUAGACCCUGCCAUGUCAGUCCAGUUACAGCCUGAGAUUCACCUUCUGUCUCCUUAGCCAAGGACUAAGACUUGACUUGUUUGUGAAUGGUACCCUCUUGUGGUCACAUGGAUUAGACUAAUGCCGUGCUUUCUGCUUUUUCCUACCAAUCAUUCAGAUUUUCCUAUCAACAGGAUUUUCAAAAGGAUUUUUAUUAAAGUUAUUAAUUGUACAAAUUAGUU